AGAGUUUGAUCCUGGCUUAGGAUGAACGCUGGCGGCGUGCUUAACACAUGCAAGUCGAACGAAGCUAAGGGAGCUUGCUCCCAAAGCUUAGUGGCGGACGGGUGAGUAACGCGUGGGUAACCUGCCCUAUAGAGGGGGGAUAACGUUCGGAAACGAACGCUAAUACCGCAUAAACCAUAAGGAGCUGCAUGGCUCUGAUGGCAAAGAUUUAUCGCUAUAGGAUGGACCUGCGUUGGAUUAGCUAGUUGGUGAGAUAACAGCUCACCAAGGCGACGAUCCAUAGCCGGCCUGAGAGGGUGAACGGCCACAUUGGGACUGAGACACGGCCCAAACUCCUACGGGAGGCAGCAGUGGGGAAUAUUGCACAAUGGGCGCAAGCCUGAUGCCCAGCGACGCCGCGUGAAGGAAGAAGGUCUUCGGAUUGUAAACUUCUAUCAGCAGGGAAGAAUAAAUGACGGUACCUGACUAAGAAGCCCCGGCUAACUACGUGCCAGCCGCUGC
rnacentral:rRNA from 1 species